AGUGGACUGGUUCUACCGGACCACAGAAGAUUGGACUGGUUAUAUUUUGCUGUGAAAAUGAACAAGCAGAGAAGUUGUUGAAUCUGGAGCAGAUGAUGGAGGACUUCAAGAUGCAGGAGACUCAGCUGCUCAGACAGGAUCUGUUUCCACUCCACGGACGUUUGAGGAGAUCCCAACCAAUCAGGGACGACGACGACAGCUAAAAUCACAGCGAGGUGAAGAGGCUGAGGCCAGCAGAAGUUUGAGUGAUUUGAUAUUGUUUCAUUUCAGAAUGAACACUCGAUUGCAGGGACUAACUGUCAAGAAUACAAGACUGCUUUCUCGAUGCCAGCCUCUCCUGGCUUGCCUUGUCUGUUCAUCUGGUAUUGGACCCUCUGCUCAUCUGACAUUGCCUCUCGUCUGCUUUGGUGUGUCACACCAAGUGCUUUGGACUGAACCCGUGUCUUAGAAGGCUCCAAGCCACGAC